GUCAGCUUGCUGUGUAUGAGAUCCCCCAGGUUCUCCUUUCACAAGGUAUCCUCAACCCUCAAGCACCCGCACCAGCUCCUCUACCACCGAAGCCUAAGAAGGCUGCUCCUCUUAAUGCACUUUCUCCCUCAAGGUCGACCACCGUUUCUGUUGAUUCUUCUGGUGCGACAGGUCUGCUCCACUAUGCACCAACUGUUGCAUCCAUUGGAGUGGCUGUUCUUGCGGCAAUGUCCUUAUCCCUAUGGACUGAGUGGCAGAUUGAUGGAUGGUGAUGUGUUGAUCAUGCGUGCAUGAGUGUAAUUGUGUUGUCAUGAUUUUUACUUAAUAAAAUCUUUACCUUAUCUUUGCACUGAAAUUUGAAAAAUUGACAUAAUAAGAGGGUAUCUUUUAUUUCAUGACAAAAAUACUGACAAAACAAAAAACAACAAAGGUCCCAUGGCCGUUGAUUCUGGAGUUAAGUGCCAAAGUGAAAUCGCGAAUCAAAAAAAGUUAUCACAUGUAGGCCUCCUUCCAGAUUUAUUAUAAAAAAAAUAUCAUGUAUGUUCUUAAAAUGAGGUUGAAACUGCAUUCAAAAGAUGCCAUCUUCAACAUUAAAAAUGUGAUUUUAGUUUGAAAAUAAACUUAGUCAUAUUUUGAAUAGUUAAAUAAAAAUAUGAUUUCUAUACAACUUAACAAAUGAAACUAAGAUACAAGUCUACAAGACUAAGUUCCAAUAUAUAUAGAAAUACAAAAAAAGAAAAAGACUUGUUCUUGAUUCUUGUCAUUAAUAUGAGACCAAGCUUUUAGUGACAUGAAAUAAAUCUAAAGUAAGAUAUUUAAUUUGCACUGACCAUGACCAUGAUUUUGUACACAAAGCCUUUAUAAGUUAGAUAUAUAACUUAUAAAAAGAAAAAGGAUUAAAAAAAAAAGGGAUCUGAAAAAUCCAAAACAGUGUAAACAUAGUUUACUAUGCAUGAUUGUCAAACAAAAUAACAGAAAAAAUCUAAAGAGAUCCUAAAAGUAAAGGAGGAGCUCUGCUUCUCUUCUAUUAUGAAUCAACAUUCUAAAAGUAGUGUCCUCGCAUUCAAAGAAUUACAAUGUACAGUGUAUUGGAACACUACAUUUCUACUCUUAUCAUUAACAUUCUUAUCAAGUAGGAUUCUAUUCUUUUUCAUGGGAUGGACCUCGGAACCUCUUACAUCCUCAUCCCAGUCCUUGUCACUUCCACUUGAGGAAUUAAGUAGGUAUCGGAUCAGCUAAACAGAAAUGGAACUGCCAAUUGAUGGAUGAAUUUGACAAAGACCCAGCCUCUCCAUGCUACACUUUCCAUGGCCGCUUUUAGGAACAAUAAAAAAAAGGAUCGGCAUCAUUGUCUCACAGAGUUUACAUAUCCUGCUGUUUCUUCCUGCUUUACUAAGCAACCCUUUUAGGUAUUCUAACUAUAUGAAAACCCACUACUACAAAAAACUAAAUUAAUGGCGCUCUAUUUCUUGGCGCUUAUAAAAAAUGUCAUUAUUUGUGACCAAAAUUAGUAAGCAUUGACGCUUGUAUAUCAUUGGCGUUUUACAAGGAGAAGCAAUGGCGUUUUUAAAUAAUGACCCUUUUAAAAACGUUAUUGUAUGCUGAAUUUUAAAUAAUGACACUUUUCCAAGUGUCAUUGUUGGACAAGUUAAAUAGUGGCAGUCUUUCAAAGUAUCAUGUCCAGUUUCUUUAUAUAAAAACUCCUUAUUUCUUAAUUUAAAAAGCCUAACACUCUAGCCCACAAUCACACCCAACAAACUCACUGCCCGACACCCACACUCAAACCCUAACCUCCAUGGAUGACCCUCUUUGAAACCCUAACCCUCUCCAAAACUCUAACCCUGAAAUUUAUGAGGCCUCUGCUACUAUUUGACUGAUUGUGGAGGAGGCAUAUCCGUGUUUGGCCACCAUUAGCUGACUGGUAAAUCUCUUUCUCUCUCAAAAUAUUUUCGAUUUUAUAGUUUAGGGUUUUUUCUUUUGGGUGUUUAUGAUUUUUUAUGGGGUGUUUGUUAUGGCUAAAUAUCUAAUCUGAUAAAUAUAACAAUUUGUUUGUGUUUGUUUUAUUUUUAGAAACCCAUUCCUUCAUGUUGUUUGGCAUUCGACUGCAAUUUUUGGCAUUGACACCUAAUGUAAGCUCUAACCUGUAUCUAUUCAUAUCCAGAUUUUGUAUUAUUGUUUUUUUUUCUUUUUGUAAAUUUUGGGUUUCAAUGUACCUGGAAUGAAAUGAUGCAUGUUGCUCUAUUUUUCGGGAAGUGGUGGCUGGAACUCUGUUUUUGGAAAAUGGCAGCUAGAUUCUCUUCUCAUACACACAGAAUUAAUGUUGUUAAUUUGUGGGAAAUGAAUUUUCUGCAAUGGGUUUUGCAACUAAUUGCAAAAAUAAAAAUUUCUUACCAGAUUUUUGUACUAAAAUCUCAAUUAUGAAAUAAGAUUUCUAAAUUUGUACUAAACCCAUAAUUUAAAAAUGCAGUUUCAAUUGGUAGUAUAUCAAGCGUGUUAUCCAGCAACGUCUAAAUAAUUAAAAAAAUUUAUAGUGCUUUUUCCAUGUCAGUAAGUUGUCUAUGUUGUGUAUUCACUCAAAGCAUGAUAUGGAAUCUCUUACCAAAUGUGCCCAUGCCUUAUUGUCCUUAAUCUCUUACCAAAUGUUGUGUAUUCACUCAAAAUUAUGAAUGCUUCCACCACGUGGGAGCUAGUGGGGUUUCUUUGCUCAUUUUCUAUUGUACCUUUCUUUAGGGGUUGACUUUGGCAUGAAAAGAGAAAAAAAAAAAAAAAUCUGGUUUUGAACUUAGAAUACUUUAAUUUAAAUAAAUAUGUAGAAUUGGUAGUUUUCUUUAUGAGAGGUUUGCUAUAGUAAGAUGUAUUCCAGCUAAGAGGUUUAGAACUCUAUAAAUUAAAAAUAAAAUAUUCAUUUCUAUAUGUUUAUUAUCCCAUCCUUAAUGUGGGCCCAAGUGAAUAGGAACUUUGGGAAAUCCCAUCCCAUUUGUCUUGUUAUCUAGAUUAUCUAUUUUUUUUUUUUUUGAUCAAUUAUAGUAUAAAUGAAACUAAAAUGCUUGAGUACUAUACUUCCUUAUGAAUGAUCAAAUCCUUGUAAAAGAGAACCUUAGAAUUUUAAAAUAAAAAUAAUUAAAUAAGAUUAUGUUUGGUUGUACUUUUAUUUAUUUAUUUUUAUUGCUUUUCAAAUUAAAUAUACAAAAUUUGAUUUUUUAUAAAAGCAUGUCUAAUACCUAUAGUAUUUUUUAUUAUACUCUUUGCAAAAAACAAAUUUGAGAAUGAUUUUCCAAAAACAAAUAAACAAAAAAAAAAGGUUUUACGUGUUGAAUACAUUAUAAGGAAGAAAAAAUAAAUAAUAGUAAAGAAAAUUCAUGAUUUUUAAUUUUUUUUUUAUGGAAGAUCUCAUUGCAAUUAUUUCCUUAUGGUCAUCCCUUUGGAGAAGAUAAUAUUUUAAUUAGGGUAAUAUAUGUGCUUUGAAUUUGAUUUUGUUCCAUAAUUUUUAAAAUUAUAUGCAAGAAACAAAUAGCCAAGGAUAUUUUAUUUGAUCAAAUAUAGAUUCUAAGCAAGCAAAUAAUUAAGGAUGACUUUAUUUUAGAAAUAGAUAGCAAUCAUCUAUAUAUAUAUUUGCCCAUUAUUACCUUAGUAAGAGUUUCAAUAGUUCUUUACUAUUAAUUAUAUUGACUAUGCUAUUAAUUAUGCUUGUUGUACGGUUAAAAUAAAGUUGGAAUUCAAAAAACAAAUAAAAAUAUUUAGUAACCAAAAUUAUCAACUUCAAUUCAUUGAAAGUCUUACCAAGAAAAUAUAAUUUUCAUAAAACAAAAGUCCAUUUGACCCCUCCAUUUGCUAUUGCUAUAUCAAUUUUAAUGCAAUUGUAAUCACAAAAUAUUAAAAUAAGAAAUAUUUUUUUAAUAACCACACAUCACAAAUAUUAAAUGAAUUAUUUACUAAUAGAUUUAUUUUUUUAUUUUUUUAUUAUUUGUUUUGCAUAUAUAUCUUUUAAGGGACAGUGACCUACAUUAGACUAUGAGAGAUGUGAGAUGCAAGACUUGAGACAAAGACAAAUUGAGGAAGGUACUAAAUAUAUAACUAAAUUUUAUGUAAAAUUUUUGAACUAUCAUUGGGUUUUGGUGGCACUGGAAACAAGGACUAUGAUUGCAUAUUACCUUGACUCAUUGGAAGACCAACCUUCUAAUGAGCUUAAGGAGAUUGUUAAUAUGUAAGUUUUUCUCUCAAUACAAGAGCAUGAAGCAUAAUUGGUAACAAAUAUUAUUUUCUUCAUGUAGGGCCCUUAGAAUUCAUCCACCACAAAAACAUAAAUCAUCAAAGAGGGAGCCUACUUGGGUUGUAGUAGGGGUGAGUAAUUCAUAUAAAUUAAGUAAUGCAAUUUUUAAUAGCAUUUCUUAAUUUUUAAUCAAGUACAAGAUAUCCUACAACUAACUAUAAAAUUGGUGUAUUCUACAAUGAUUUAUUUUUAUGCAUAAAGUGCCCAAUACAACCAGGCAGUGUUGAAUGUGGAUACUAUGUGAUGAGAUAUAUGAGAGAUAUUAUUGCUGAUUAAGGAUGUCUUACAUCAAAGGUAUGCACCAAUUUAUUAAUUUCCAAUAUAUCAUUUUUACCAUAUUUUUCAAUGUAAUUGAUUAAAUUGUUUACAUUACUCCUUAAUAGUUUCAUGGGAAAAAAUCGUAUAGCAAAGAUGAGUUGAAUGAAGUACGAUCAGAAUGGGUAAUGCUAGUCACUCAGUUGAUACUUUCUUCUGUUUGAAGGCUUUGAAGACACCUUUCUGUAUGGAAAUAGAUCAUACUUUUGCCCAAUCCAACUAUCACCUUUGUUAAGGUUAAUAUUUUAUUUUUUUCUCUUUUGAACCAAACUAUGAUUAAAAGUAAAUUGUUUGAUGGAAUCACAACCAAGUUGAUAACAUUUUCUUUCUAUUGUCAUGAUAUUUCUCUAGUUUCCCAUAACUAAACUAAGUUGUUAAUUGCAUGCAUGACUCACAGGCAUCCAAAAGGAAACUUUUUGAAGCUAAAAGUUGGAAGCUUUUCCAAGUUUCUAAUAGUUCAUGGGCUAUUGCCACAAAAAAGGUUAUUUUCAUAGGGAUAUCAAGUUUAUUAUUUCUUGCUUCCUAUUAAAGAUCUUCUAAUAGGGGAUAUACACUUGGAAUUUUGUCGUUCUCAUGUGAUCAUUUGUUUUCAUUCUCAACUACAGAAUGUUCUUGUUGGUUCAAAGGGAAACAUGAAGAUUUCUAAUUUUGGCCAUGGUGUUAUACCACAACAUUGUAAGUUACAUCGUCACCCUCAUAAAACAUAAAGAUUUCUUCAUAAAAUAAUUUUUUUUGUUUCAUUGCUUAACUUAUUUAUUUUUCAAUGAAUUUAAAACUACAAGAUGAUGGAUUACUAUAUAUUUAUAUACAACCAGUGGAAGUUCAAAUUACAUUGCUUAAUUAACUUCUAAUUAAGUUUUUUCAAGUGUCAAAAAUGUGGUUUGUAGUUUAAUUUUCAUUUCAUUAAAAUUAACAGUUCUAUUUUUAUCUCUUCAACCAAUUUGUAGAUCGGGUAAGUGAUUGAGCGUAGCUCUAGAAACUGCCAGUGAAGUAUCUCUAUGAACAUAAUCCCCUCAUGAUUUGCAGAAAUUUUAAGACUAACAACAUACUCUUAAAGGUAUGGUCUCUACUACUCAUAAAUUACCAUUAUAUUUUGUUCAUUCAGAAAAUUUAUAUUGGUGAUGAAGUUUUUAUUAUUUUACAUCAUUGGCUUGAUAACCAUGCUUUUUAAAUUUAGUAUACAUGAGAAAUAACAAUUAAAAAAAAAUGAAUUCCGGUUUCUCACUUUAUGUGUUUGUAUUAUGGACAUUUUUAAGCUAAAGUUCCUUAAGCUUUACUUUUGUGUAAUGUAUUGCAUGAUAGACUGAUGUUUGAAUCUCUAUUUGGCUUCAUAGAUAACCUGAAUUUAUUGUUAAAUUUUUAUGCAAUCAUAUAUUUGCCAUAUAGUUGUCACUUUAGAUCGCUCACAUAAUUCUAGAUAUUUUCCCAAAUAUGUUUUAUUUUAAAAAAAUAAUCAUAAUCUUUUUAAAUAUGAAAUAUGAGCUUUCAUUAAAAAAUAUUCAUCAGUAGAAGAUGUUUAUCUACUAUUAAGUUGUAGAUAUUCUUCUCUACAUUUUUUUAUGCAUGCCAAUUUAUUUAUUAUUAAGUUCUGGAAUUCAUAUGGUUGUUGCUAGCCUUGAUAGUGAUAAAUAAAAUGAAUGAUAAGUAUGAUACAAUUGACCACUAUUUUGGAUGCAAUGUUGCAACUCAUAUCAUAUGGUGGGAAGUGUUAAUUCUUUUAACUUAACAAAAAACUUAGUUGAUAAAGUAUCAUGGUGUAAACCUUAUUUAUUUCAUGUUACACCAUAUUCCCAAACCUUCAUUUGUCAAUGUUGGACAUUCGACGAGGUCUAUUACUAUUAGAUGAUGCCUAAUUGAAUAUUUUAAUGGACUAUUGAUGUUGAUAUUCUCUUGUCCCAAACUUGGUUUGUUUUUCUAUUUUCUUUUGGGCUAUACUAAAGAUUUAAUGGAUUAUCGAUGUUGAUGUUCUCUUAUCCCGUAUUUGAUUAAUCUCUUGUUUUGUGUUUUAACUAUUGAUAGUAAUUUUGUUGUAAUUAUUCUUAGAGUCACAUAUGUCAAUUGGUAUACACAUUUGAUUUCCUAUUAUAUUUUCAUUGUCUUCUCUCUAUUUCUAGAAGUAUUCACUUAUAUAUAUUUUUUCUAAAAUUGUAAUUGAUUUUAGUUUUUUGUGCAUGUAGGUCAUUUUUUUGGGAAAUUAACCUUGUAGUUGGAUAAGCUAGCAUGAAGGAGUAUGUUGAAGACCAAAGCACAAUUGGGUUGCAUGUAAAGAAAAAAUGGACUAUGUCAAGGGACUAAACAUUAAAGUUAUGACUUUUUUUUUUGUUAUUUUAAUAUAUUUUAGUUUUUUUGGGUUUCUUGUUUAUGAAAUACAAGUUCUCUAUUUGUGAUUAAAUACUGCAAUUUGGAAAUGUAUUACCAGAUGAAAAAUUAGGUGCAACAACUAAUUUCAGCAAUAAAUUUUUUUUCUUAUGUGUAUGCAUUAUUUCAAUAGCAGGUGAAAAAUUAGGUGCAACAAUUAUUAAAUUAAAACUAAACUUAAAAUUAAACAAUUAUCUUUCUUGAUGCUUUUACUAAGUGUCAAGGAAUGAGAGUAACCAUAGUAACAUUUCUACAACCCAAUAAUGGCACUAAUAAAUGUGUCAAUGUAGUGUGAACAACUAACAAUGACACUUUUUUAAGUGUCAAGGUUCUCUUCAAUGACGCUUUCUAGCCGUGUCCUUAUAGUUUGAUAUUUGAAACUACUAAACAAUGACACUUAUAGAAAGUGUCAGGGUUUCUUCUACUCAACAAUGGCGCUUAUAAAAGUGUCAAUGUAGUUUGAUAUAAAUAAUGAUGACAAAUUUUUUAAGCGUCAAGGUUCUCUUCAAUGGCGCUUUCUAAAAGCGUCAUUGUAGGCAAAUACUUAUUAUGACAGGCUAGUAGAUGACGCUUUGGGGAAGCGCCAUUGAAUGUAUUUCUUGACACUUAAAAAGCGUCAUGGUUAAUGUUUUUUCUUAUAGUGACCCCUUCUCUGUCUAAUUCAUCUACCUUACCAAGAGAGAUGGGAUAUAUAUUGAGCUUCUCUUGCCAACUUCAAAUGCAGCUUUUCACCAAAUUUCAUGUUCACUUCCCAUCUCACCCGCUCAAUAAAAGCCCCAAUCCCUUCAAACUCAUCCAGUACAACUAUUCUCCAUUUCUUUACAACAAGUUUAGCCAUUCAAUACCAAAAGAGCCUAGAAGAAAUGAUGAGGAAGCUCCUCAUCUCUUCUUUUCUGCUUCUGCUGUUUUUGUUGCAUCUUUGCAGCAAAACUUCUGCUCAGUCUAGCUCUACAGGUCCCAUUGACAUCAUUGCAGUUCUUGGAAAGGCUGGUAAGUUUACUACCUUCACUGGGCUACUGAAGAGCACACAGAUGGAAGUCUAAGUCAAUAGCGGACUCCAGAAAAAAACAAACCCAGGAUUCACCAUAUUUGCACCAACCGAUAGUGCCUUUUCGGACCUCAAAACAGGGACACUGAACUCAUUCAUUGAUCAGCAGAAGCUCGCCCUGACACAAUUCCAUAUAGUACAUUCUUUCUUUACUGUCCCACAGUUCCAAACUGUGAGCAACCCUCUGCACACAGAGGCAGGUGAAAAUUCUGCUGAGUUUCCUCUGAAUGUGAUAGGGAACGGAACUCAGGUGAACAUGACAACAGGCCUUGUGAAUACAACAGUGGACAGCACAGUAUACAGUGAUGGUCAGCUCGCUGUGUAUGAGAUCCCCCAGGUUCUCCUUUCACAAGGUAUCCUCAGGACUCAAGCACCAGCACCGGCUCCUCUACCUCAAAAGCCUAAGAAGGUUACUCCCCUUAAUUCACAGGCUCCUUCAACGUCGACCACCUCUGCUGUUGAUUCUUCUGAUGGGACAGCACUGCCCAACCAUGCAACGAUUGUGGUAUCCAUUGGAGUGGCUGUUCUUGCGGCAUUGCGCUUGUGCCUAUGAACUGGUGCUGAUUGAUGAAUGAUGAUGACGAUGUGAUCUUGCAGUGUGCUUGUGCUGUUACAAUUUUUCGUUUCAUCAAAAUUUUUACCUUAUGUUUCUCGAAAACGAUUAACAACUCAAAUAAGCCUUUUUCUUGUUGAUAUGGAGAAACUUAAGUGGCAAACUUGCUCCCUUCAUGUUUCACACAAGUACUACACUUGAAAAUGACUCCUGGAAAAAUAAGGGGGAAACAAAUCCAAGUAGAUGAAGGCAAUUGAGAAGAUAAUGCCUAAUUUUAGAGAUGGUUUUGAUUUUACUAUGCAAUCUAAACCACUAGAAAGCAACUUGCAGUCAAAUCAGUAUAAAUCAAAAGCAGAUACUUGGUUGAAACCAUUUGAACUUCUCCACCGUGCAAAGGGUUAUUCUCGUAAAGAAAAUUACAAUAGCUAGAGCUCUCAGAGUUCCCAUGAUCGAUGUUAAAUGCACCCAUUAUUUUUUUUAUUGCUAUUUUUAUUUUUCAAAUAAAUUUUAAAUAUAAAAGAAUAAAAAUGCUCUCUUCUUCCUCAACCCCACAGCCAUCCAAAACCCUAACCCUAAGCCUCCUUUCCUUUCUCUUUUUCUUUCUUUUCAUUUUCAUUCUUUCCUUCCUGUCUUUUCCAAUCAUCUUCUUUCUCAAAUAUUCUUUUUUUUUUCUUUUUAAAUUAAAGAGAUAAAGGGGAAAAGAAACCAAAGAGAAGGGUACGAUCAUGGUGUCUCACCGUGACUGCGGCAGCACAGCAGCCACUGUCAUCCCUCUCUCACUUUUGUGUUUUCUCUGUUUCAAUAAUCAUAAUAAUAAUAAUAAUAAUAAUAAUAAUAAUAAUAAUCUAACCGCGGCAAAAAGAAGGAAAGGGAUGGUGGAGCUGGAGAAGAGUGAAGGAAGAGAAAAGAGGGGUAGGGUGGUGGAUGAGUGUAAGGAAGAAGAGGGCAACCAUGUUCAUAAUUUUUAUUUGAAAGUGGGAAAAAUAAGAGAGGUUUAGAGAGAUGAUCAUGAUAUGUAUGUAUUUAUUAACUCUCUUUUAAGGACUUUACAAGUAGCGAUCACUCCAUAUUUUCAAAUGAUUAUAUAUAUAUAUAUAUAUAUAUAUAUAUAUAUAUAUAUAUAUAUAUAUAUAUAUAUAUUUAUUUAUAUUAUGGCUUAAAAUAAAGUUUCCUGUGACAUUGAAUCGAAAUUUCAGUGACAAAAUUUCCUAAUUAAUUUAACAGUUGAACAGAUAACAAUGAAUAACAUCAUUAAAUCAUGGGGAUUGUAGUCCAUGGUGAUUAGUGUAAGGUUCUGUAAGGGAAUUUGAAGAGGUUAUGCGUGAAAUAUUAAAAAUAUAUGAUUACAUACUAAUGCAUUGAAUUCAGCACUUGGCCAUAUCUUCCUCUGCUUGGCUUGAUUGCAAAUGAACGUCUGCCUCAACCAGAAGGAACAGUGUCGCAGAGUCCAAAACAAAUUAACCGGCAAAUUCAUGCAAUAGCCUAUGACUAAUUUACAUGAUAUGCAAUUAUCCUUUUCAUAUAUAUUGUGCAAUCGAUUAGAUAGAUUAUCGCCUUUUUUUCUUUUUUUCACGUUUUAUAUGUAGCUUUCACUGAGAAAAGACAAAGAUCCCAAUUGUCCAGUUGUUUUAUGUUGAAAACCCAACUCCUAUAUGCUGCACCAUCCAUGACUGCUUUUAGGAACAAGCAAAAAGGAUCUGUAUACAUCGUUUUCUUACACACUUGAACCGUAAACCUUGCUGCUGUUUUUCUGCCUUGCUAAGCAAACUAGUAGAUGUUCUAACAAUAUAACACCUCCCCACCUGUGUCUUCCUCUACCUUUUACAAAGAUAGAUGGGAUAUUGAGGUUCUCUCGUCAACUUCAACUGCAGCCUUUCAACAAACUUCAUGCUCACUUCCCAUGUCACCCCCCUUAAUAAAAAGCCCCACUCCCCUCCAUACUCCUCCAAACAAAUUCUUUCUCCUCUACUUUCUCGGAGCAACAAGUUUUCUACUGAUCGAUACCAAGAGAGCCUAGGAAAAUAUGAUGACGAAACUUCUCUCCCCAACUCUUCUUCUGCUGAUCUUCUCCCUUCUCUGCACCACUACUUCUGGUCAGCCUUCAGCACCGGCUCAAGCACCUUCAGGUUCUACCACAACUUCUGGUCAGUCAUCAUCACCACCAGCUCCAUCACCUUCAGGUCCUUUAGCUCCUUCAGCUUCUUCAGGUCCCGCCGACAUCAUUGCAAUUCUCAGAAAGACCAGCAAGUUUAGUACCUUUAUUGGGCUACUAAAGAGCACCCAAAUGGAUUCUGAAAUUAAUAGCGAACUCAAGAAAAAAUCUAAUGCGGGCUUCACCAUAUUUCUCCCAAAUGCCCUAUACAUAUCUACGAGUCCAUGUAAUCAUUUUAGAAAACAAUUCCAAUAUUUUUAACACUUAAAAAUUUUUAUCUUCUAUUCAUUAAAAAAAAAUUAAAAAUUCUUUUCAAAAUUAUUAUCAAAUACACUCAAAAUAUAAUUAUAAAACUUAAAAAUGGAAUGAGGGAAAUCUCCAAAUAAAAAAAAAAAGGGAGAAUUAUAUUUUGGGAGUAGAUGGACUCCCAAAUUAACAAAAGGUCCAUAUAACUCUUCAAAUUGAGUUGAAGGAUAUGAAAUAGUAACGGACAAAUAUACCCUUUAAGAACACAUAUAAAAUAUUUUAUAAAAUUAAGUUAAAUAAUUUUUUUUUCAAUAAUAUUAAAUUAAAUAAAAGUAGCUUUCAAAAAUAUUAAAUUAAAUAAAUUUUUUUUCAAAAAUAUUAAAUUAAAUUAAAUUAAAGUAUUUAAAAAAUAUUUUUUUAGAGUUAAAAUUAUUAAAAUUAUUAUUAUUAUUAUUUUCUCUCUUUUUGACAUACAGCUGUUAAUUUCAUAUAGUUAAUUUAUCAUACUUUGUAAUGUCAAAUAUUAAAAAAGAGAAAAUAAGAAAAUAAUUUAACAGGAUUUGGUAAAGAAGCAAAGGAAAUGCGGUAGCCUUUUUGUGAAUGUAUUAUGAUUUAGGAUUUUCUUUGUUGUAUAAUUUCACCCUCCACGCGACAAGUCUUUUAUCUUCUCUCUUGUGCAAUCGAAUGCUAUGUUUAUGGAAUCUUUUCUCUUCAAGUAAGUCGGUGCUAACAAGAGUGAAAGGUAACUCCCAAUAUCGUUGUCUCGUACAGUUGAAUAACAUAUCCUGCUCUGCUAAGCAAACUUUGUGGAUAUUUUAACCACAUGAACACCCCACCUCUGUCUUCCCCUACCUUACAAAGAGAGAUGGGAUACUAUAUUGAGGUUUGUUCUCUUGCCAACUUCAAACGCAGCCUUUCACCAAACUUCAUGCUCACUUCCCAUCUCAGUAAGGAAAUUGGAACCCCCAAAUCUGCAGGGAAAGCCUCUUUCAAAGUGGAACAUAGUUGCCGUCUCACACUGCCAUCACCCAUGCCCAUGUCUUCAAUGUUGUCCCUUUUUCUCUUAUGUUGUGCGGUUUUCUUUGUCCACUCAAGAACCUGAGAAUUCCAUUAUAUUGCAUUGCCCAUGUUAGGCAUGUCAACAACAGUUUCUGAUCCAUUGGUUUCAUUUGAUAAUUAAAUUAUGAAAUGGACAAUUUCAAGCUAAAAUGUGCAAAUAAUGAAGGAGCAUGCAUAUAUAAAAUGGAUAAUUUGAUAAAAGUACUGGGUUGUAACACAUUCCAAAAUAUUGCUUCCUCUGGGACAUCAUAAAUUCAUAAAACAUAAGCAUGCAGUAACCUGAAAAUGUUUGAGGAUCCGAUGACUAAUUUACAUGAUGUAUACGCAAUUAUGUUUUUCAUGUAUUCUGGGCGAUUAUAUAGAUUAUCGCCUUUUUUUUUUUUUUUUUCUUACAUGUGGCUUUCACUGAGAAAAAAUCCCAAAUGUCCGGUUGUUACAUGUUGAAAACCCAGCUCCUAUAUGCUGCACCCUCCAUGGCUGCUUUUAGGAACAAGCAAGAAGGAUCUGUAUACAUCGUUUUCUUACACACUUGAACCAUAUACCCUGCCCCUGUCUUUUCUGCCUUGCUAAGCAAAGUAGAUGUACUAACAAUAUAACACCUCUCCAACUGUCUUCCUCUACAUUUUACAAAGAUAGAUGGGAUAUUGAAGUUCUCUUGCCAGCUUCAAAUGCAGCCUUUCACCAAACUUCAUGCUCACUUCCCAUCCCACCCCCUCAAUAAAAGGCCCCACUCCCUUCCAUACUCAUCCAAACAAACUCUUCUCCUCUACUUUCUUGGAGCAACAAGUUUUCCAUUUAUCAACACCAAGAGAGCCUAGGAAAAUAUGAUGGAGUCACUUCUCUCCCCAACUCUUCUUCUGCUGAUCUUCUUCCUUCUCUGCACCACUACUUCUGGUCAGCUUUCAGCACCGGCUCAAGCACCUUCUCAAGCACCUUCAGGUUCUACCACAACUGCUGGUCAGUCUUCACCACCAGCUCCAUCACCUUCGGGUCCUUUAGCUCCUUCAGCUUCUUCAAGUCCCGCCGACAUCGUAGCAAUUCUCAGAAAGGCCCGCAAGUUUAGUACCUUUAUUGGGCUACUAAAGAGCACCCAGAUGGACGCUGAAAUCAACAGCGAACUCAAGAAAAAAUCUAACGCGGGCUUCACCAUAUUUGCUCCAACUGAUAGUGCCUUUUCGGACCUCAAAACUGGUACUCUGAACUCAUUCACGGACAAUCAGAAGGCUGCGCUGACAAAAUUCCACAUAAUAAAUUCUUUCCUUACAAUCUCGCAGUUCCAAACUGUGAGCAACCCACUGCACACAUCGGCAAAUGGUAACACCAAGGAGUUUCCACUGAAUGUGAUAGGGAACGGAACUCAGGUGAACAUGACAACAGGCCUUGUGAAUACAACAGUGGACAGCACAGUAUACAGUGAUGGUCAGCUUGCGGUGUAUGAGAUCCCCCAGGUUCUCCUUUCACAAGGUAUCCUCAGGACUCAAGCACCAGCACCGGCUCCUCUACCUCCAAAGCCUAAGAAGGUUACUCCCCUUAAUUCACAGGCUCCUUCAAGGUCGACCACCUCUGCUGUUGAUUCUUCUGAUGGGACAGCACUGCCCCACCAUGCACCGAUUGUUGUAUCCAUUGGAGUGGCUGUUCUUGCGGCAUUGCGCUUGUGCCUAUGAAUUGGUGCUGAUUGAUGAAUGAUGAUGAUGAUGUUAUCUUGCAGUGUGCUUGUGCUGUUACGAUUUUUCGUUUCAUCAAAAUUUUUACCUUUUGUUUCUCGAAAACGAUUAAUAACUCAAAUGAGCCUUUUUCUUGUUGAUAUGGAGAAACUUAAGUGGCAAACUUGCUCCCUUCAUGUUUCACACAAGUACUACACUUGAAAAUGACUCCUGGAAAAAUAAGGGGGAAACAAAUCUAAGUAGAUGAAGGCAAUUGAGAAGGUAAUGCCUAAUUUUAGAGAUGGUUUUGAUUUUACUAUGCAAUCUAAACCACUAGAAAGCAACUUGCAGUCAAAUCGGUAUAAAUCAAAAGCAGAUACUUGGUUGUGAGAACUCCAAACCGUGCAAAGGGUUAUUCUCGUGAAGAAAAUCACAAUAAGCUAGAGUUCUCAGAGCUCCCAUGGUCGAUGUUAAAUGCACCCAUCAAUUUUUUUUAUUACUAUUUUUAUUUUUAAAAUAAAUUUUAAAUAUAAAAAAACAAAACUGCUCUCUUCUUCCUCAACCCCACAUCCAUCCAAAACCCUAACCCUAACACCCCUUUCCUUUCUCUUUUUCUUUCUUUAAAUUUUCCUUUUCCUUCCCUUCUUUUCCAAUCAUCUUCUUUCUCAAACAUUCUUCUUUUCUUCCUUUUUAAAUUGAAGAGAUAUAAAGGAAAAGAAACAAAGAGAAGGGUAGGAUCAUGGUGUCUCACCGUGACUGCGGCAGCACAGCAGCCACUGUCAUCGCUCUCUCACUUUUGUUUCUCUGCUUAAGUGAAAAUAAUAAUAAUAAUAAUAACCUAACCGAAAAAAAAGAAGGAAAGGGAUGGUGGAACUGGAGAAAAGAGCGAAGGAAGAGCAAAGAGUGGGGUGGUGGAUGAGUAUAAGGGAGAGAAGGGCAAAAAUGUUCAUUAAUUUUUAUUUGAAAGUUAGAAAAAUAAGAGAGGUCUAGAAAGAUGAUCAUGAUAUGGAUGUAUUUAUUAACUCUCUUUUAAGGACUCUACAAAUAAUGACUUUAUAUUUUGAAAUGAUUCUUUUUAUAUAUAUAUAUAUAUAUAUAUAUGUAUGUAUAUACUAUGGCUUAAAAUAAAGUUUCCUAUGACAUUGAAUCGAAAUUUUGGUAACAAAAUUUCUUAAUUAAUUUAACAAUUGAACAGAUAACAAUAAAUAACAUGGUUAAAUCAUUCACUGGAUUGCAGUUCAUGAUGAUUAGUGUAAGGUUAUGUAAGGGAAUUUGAAGAGAUUAUGCGUGAAAUAUUAAAACAUACUAAUGCAUUGAAUUCAACAUUUGGCCAUAUCUUCCUUUGCUUCGCUGAAUUGCAAAUGAACGUCUCCCUCAACUAGCUAGAAGGAACAGUGUCGGAACAGUGUCGCAGAGUCCAAAACAAAUUAACCGACAAAUUCAUACAAUAACCGAUGAUUAAUAUGCAAUUAUGCUUUUCAUAUAUUAUGGGCGAGUAGAUAGUUUAUCGCCCUAGUUUUGUUUUUUUUAACGUUUUACAUGUGGCUUUCACUGAUAAAGACAAAGAUCCCAAAUGUCCAGUUGGCAUAUGUUGAAAACCUAGCUCCUAUAUGCUGCAACCUCCAUGGCUGCUUUUAGGAAUAAGCCAAAAGGAUCUGUAUACAUCGUUUUCUUACACACUAGAACCAUAUAUUCUACUCCUGGCUUUCUGUCUUGCUAAGCAAACUAGUAGAUGUUCUAACAAUAUAACACCUCCCCACCUGUGUCUUCCUCUUACCUUUUAAAAAGAUAGAUGGGAUAUUGAGGUUCUCUUGCCAAUUUCAAAUGCAGCCUUUCACCAAACAUCAUGCUCACUUCCCAUGUCACCCCCCAAAAUAAAAAGCCCCACUCCCCUCCAUACUCAUCCAAACAAACUCUUCUCCUCUACUUUCUCGGACCAACAAGUUUUCUACUGAUCAAUACCAACAGAGCCUAGGAAAAUAUGAUGAAGAAACUUCUCUCCCCAACUCUGCUUCUGCUGAUCUUCUCCCUUCUCUGCACCACUAAUUCUGGUCAGCCUUCAGCACCGGCUCAAGCACCUUCCGGUUGUACCACAACUUCUGGUCAGUCUUCACCACCAGCUCCAGCACCUUCAGGUCCUUUAGCUCCUUCAGCUUCUUCAGGUCCUGCCGACAUCGUAGCAAUUCUCAGAAAGGCCCGCAAGUUUAGUACCUUUAUUGGGCUACUAAAGAGCACCCAGAUGGAUGCUGAAAUCAACAGCGAACUCAAGAAAAAAUCUAACGCGGGCUUCACCAUAUUUGCUCCAACUGAUAGUGCCUUUUCGGACCUCAAAACUGGUACUCUGAACUCAUUCUCGGACAAUCAGAAGGCUGCGCUGACAAAAUUCCACAUAAUAAAUUCUUUCCUUACAAUCUCGCAGUUCCAAACUGUGAGCAACCCACUGCACACAUCGGCAAAUGGUAACACUAAGGAGUUUCCACUGAAUGUGAUAGGGAACGGAACUCAGGUGAACAUGACAACAGGCCUUGUGAAUACAACAGUGGACAGCACAGUAUACAGUGAUGGUCAGCUUGCUGUGUAUGAGAUCCCCCAGGUUCUCCUUUCACAAGGUAUCCUCAGGACUCAAGCACCAGCAUCGGCUCCUCUACCUCCAAAGCCUAAGAAGGCUACUCCUCUUAAUUCACAUGCUCCUUCAACCUCGACCACCGUCUCUGUUGAUUCUUCUGAAGCGACAGGUCUGCCCCACUAUGCACCAAUUAUGGUAUCCAUUGGAGUGGCUGUUGUUGCGGCAUUACCCUUAUGCAUAUGAACUGAGUGGUUGAUUGAUGAAUGAGCAUGGUAUGAUGUUGCGUGCAGUGUGCCUGUGUUGUUACAAUUUUCGCUUAAUCAAAGCAUUACCUUGUGUUGGUAUUCAAAUUAAAAAAGAAAGAAAAAAAUAUGCUGACAUUUUCUUGAGGCUGUUAUCAGGGAUGGUUAUAGAGAAAUUGAAGUGGGAAACUUGCCCCCUUCAUGUUUCACAAAAACAGUUGAAUCUGAAUCAUGCUAAAACACAAACAAUGACAAAAAAUUCCACCUAAAUGACAGCAAAGCACACACAGGUAUGGCCGUCGGUGCCCAAAUAUACUUCUUGUUUGGUUUUAUUGUGCAAAUUAUUCAAAUCUAGAAUUACUGAGUGAUUUAAAUGCUAUGAGAGCUCAAGUAACCACUUGAACCACGGGUAGAAAGUGAAAACUCUUUGGCAGGGCUAACCGUAAGAAAAUUUUCAGAUAUUAAAAUAUAAAAAUUUAAAUAUUAUUUGAUAAAAAAAAUACAUAUUGAUAAGUCUUUUGGAUGAUUUGUUUAUUUGUGGACAUGUUUUCCUCACUCACCCAUAAGCAUGUUUAAGAUUUGAUUUGAUAGUGAUUAUAAGAAACGUUAAUAAUAUUUCUAUUAUUUAAAGAUUUUCGUCUUUUAAGUAUUAGAAAAAGUUAGAAAUACUUUCUAAAAAUUAGUAUGUAAUACAUUCUAAAUAUAAUAAUAAAACCUAAAAAAUGAAAUGAUGGGAAAUCUCAAAACAAAAGAAAUUAAAUAAUUUCAAUAACAUUUUGUGCAAAUUUUAAAAAGAGAUACAUUUGUCAAAUUUACCAAGGGGAAGUUAAAAAGAGGAAUAAAAAAAAAAGGUGAAAACGUUCAAAGAAUUUCAAUAAUUUUUUUAAUCCAAAGUUUGGUAUUUUCUCCCCAAAAGGCUUUUGUAACUUUAGCAAGAAAAUUUUUAUAUAAGAAGGCGGAAGAGAAGAAGUCGUGAGCUUAUAUUAUAUCAUCCAGGACUUUGUUGAGUGUGUCGACUGCUUUGUCGGUGCAUGAGCCAGUUUAGACGCUCCGUUCUUCGUCUUUGUUGGUUUUUUAGAAGGAUCCAUUUGUGUUUUUCCUUUGCUAACCCUAAAAUUCGAUUUAACUUCUAUUUGUACUAAUCGGUUGUCAAUUUGCCAUGAGGUAAAGGUUUUUGGGUCGGUGGAUUCUUGAUGCAGCUAUGGUGGUCUAUGUUUGUUCCCGAACCCACUAAGAAAAGAAGAAAAAUAUGAUAAAUAAAUAUUUUUUUUUUGCUUAUCAAGAAAAUAUAAGAAAAAAUUAAAUAUUAUUAUAAUUAAUAAUAUAUAUAUUAUUUAAUUUUUAUAUGAAGAGAAUUAAUACAAUGACUUUAAAGGAACGAGUAAACAUAUUUUAUUAAUGUUAUUUAUUUUAGUUCUUUAUAGAUAUGUGAAUACGCGGAGAUAUAAUUUAAGGCCUUUAAUUCACAUACUUUUAGAAAGUAAAAAGAGGUUUACCCUUAAAAGGUCUUUUCAGUGCUCGUCCUAUCCUAUCCUAAUGGAAUGAGUUUAAAAUUUAAAUAAACGGAUUUGAGAUGAGUUUGAGAAUUUUUUUUUAUUUUUUAACCUGAGGUAUGAGUAUUACCUUGUCUCAUCCCGCUAUGAUUAUAUAUAAAAUUAAUGUAAUAUAAUUUUUAUUUUCUUAUUUUUAAUACAUAGAUAAUAAUAAUAAUAAAAAAAAAAUAUUUUUCAAUAAAAUAAGUUAUAAAAAUAUAAUAAUUUAAUUAUUUUCAAAAUAUAUUCAUUUUAAUGUAAUUAAUUUUUUUAAAAUAUUAUAAAAAAAAGUUAAAUAGGACGUGACAAGUAUGCGAAUUUCUCAAACCUACUCCGACCUAUUUAAUUUUUUAAUGGAAUAUGGAUGAUAAUUAUUUUGAAUGAAUGGGGUAAGAUUGGGAUGCGGCGUCCGUUGUCUCCUUAUUUCUAGUUUCCACCAUGGAUGUACUCUCUUCCCCACCAAAAGAUAUGUAUAUAUGGUUUAUCUCUAUGAAAAGCCUUACAAGAUUUGAUUUGAGAAGUGUUUUUGAAAAUGGUUGUAAAAAUAGGUUUUAAUAAUAAUUUUUAAAAAUUAUUUUUAAUGUUUUGUAGAAUAACAAUCCAUUUAGAAUUUAAUUGAAAUAUUUUUAAUAUAUUUUAUAUAUUUUAAAAAUUACUUUGACAUGUACUACUUUAUUUUUAAUCAUCAGUUAUAACUGUAUAAUUAUUUUUUUAAAAAAACUUAUAAAAAAGUAAAUAUAAACAAUUAUAAAACAUCGUUUACAAUUUUCAGGUCGUUAAAAGUGUUUUAUUCUAGAAAACAAAACACUGCUUUUAAAAAAUAGUUAAUUAUAAAAUAUGACCUAACUUUCUAAAACUUUCAACACAUAAGAUCCGUCCAUGGGUAACCACUUGAUGAGCUUGUGAGAUGCAGCAUGAUUGAGGCCCUUCUCUGGUGGCAGGAGACUUCGACUAGUCCUAAGGGUUCGUGCACUUGGCAAGCCACCAAGACAGUGUUACUUUUUCUUUCAUUAACAAACUAAUGAUUUUUUUUUUUAAAAAAAUAUUGAUCAAAAUGUUACAACCCAUUCACCUCUGGCUUUUGAAUGUUAUUCUCCUGGUGAUUAAAUCGAGAUAUAUAUUCAACGUAGCUGUCUUCCUUAAUGGUUGUAAUCUUCAAGUGGGGUGACUUUGUUGGUGUAUGAAUAAUGCGGACCAGCGUAAUCUGCCUUUUGACUUGAUUAUUUGACAUAAUGUGUCUUCUAGAACCACCCGUGCGGGUCGGACCAUCACUAAGGGAAAAAAGACUACAGUAGAAGUAUUCAAACUAAACAAAAUUCACAGACGGAAAAUUCUAUUAAUAAUAUUUUCUUACUUGUUCUUCCAUAAUCACGGCUACCAAACAGUUGAAUGGGACUCUUCUCUCGUGAAAAACCUUGUGACUCAGUCAACAGGCUAGAACUCCUCAACCACUAUAUAUAUCGCAUCACUCUCCCUGAAUCUUCCCCAUGCUUGUACUCCCAACUCCAAAAUUCGAAAAUUCACUCUUUCGACUCGGAUCUUCUGAGACUCUGGGGUUCCUUUCCUUUUCUCUUCUGUUGGUGACCGAGAAGCUGUGGUCUCCUUGUGUGCUUGCUCUGUUUCCUCAGAAUCUACCACGGCAAUGACUAUGGCUACUGGAUACAAGAAGGAGAAAGUCAGGCUUCCUCCAAAGAGAGGCAAGGUGAAAAUUAAGAUAUUCCGGUAUUUUAUACGGAUUUUAGCCAGAGUAGCCUCAAAAGCAGGAAGAGGACUUGGCAUAAAGAAAAAGAAGGUGACAGCAGAUGGAAGUGAUCAGCCUUCACCACCCCACCCGAAAAGCCCAAAUGUAACUGACAAGUACGUAGCAUGACCUCUCAAUUUGCAGCUAUAUGGUGGAGCAGGAGGCUUUUUAAAAGAAAGCCCAUGUAUGUAUAUAGAAAUGGGGAUUUAUAGCUAGGGUCAUGCCCUUAUUAUAUGUAUAUGAAGAAUUGUAGCCUAUCUCAGGUGGCAGCUAGACUUGAAUGUUAAGGCAAGUUCAUGGUUUCUUAUGUAAAUUAAUUAUUUCUUUCAUUUUCAUUUUCAUUUGCGCUUGUUUUUAGAAGAGAAUGGUCUUUCUCUCUGAUGAAUUGGCAUCUGGGUGUUGCACUUUUUCCAGUCCACCAUUAGAAUAAACUUAUCUUGGACUUUGAUUCUAAGGUGGAAAAUUCAUUACCAGCACUGCGAUCAUGAUCAUUUCUUCUUAAUUAUUUCUUCACACAAAUCAUAAUGCGACACGGAAUCCUCCAUCUCCGCCAAAACACAACAGGGGACAACCAUUGGUCAAUGCUUUUGCUUCUCGUUUGCUGCGGUCAACACAAGUGUUACCUAAUUGCUGUGGACUUCUAUUUACAUGUAAUUUUGCCAAGAUACGGCUCUCCUCUCCUGGUUGGUCCUCACUUAUACUUCCGGAUGACUUUUUUUCAUGGUUCUUUCCUAACUUCAUUUGUUGCUACUGAUUUUUUACUUUAUUCAAGUAAUAUUAUUUAAUAUUUUUUAAAAUACUAUCUUAUUAAAUAUUUACAAAAUUACAAUUGUAAAUUUAUAUUGAAAUCAUUUUUUUUUUAAAAAAAUUCUAAUGUAAAUAGAUAAAAUUAUUUUUUUUAAAGAUAAUUUUAAUAUGAAUGUUAUCCAAAUUCUAUUUGGUCCAACUCAAAAGGCUUGCAUAUAUAUAUAUAUGAGGUAUAGCUUUAAGGUUAUAAUAACUAUAUUUUUGUUAUAACCGGUCGCAACUCUUCUUAUUAUACCAAUUUUUGAUAUAGUGGAUUUCUUUAUCCUUUCUCCAUAAUUUUUUUCUUUUAAGAUUUUUUACGUAAAUCUAUAUAUUCCAUUUUUUGUUUUUUUACUACCUCUCAUUAUCGUGUAACAAUAAAUAUAAUUUAAAAAUUUAUAUGAAAUCAUUUUUUCAAAAGGCGAUUUUAAUUGAGUAUAAAAUAUUGAAUUUUGGGAAAUAUAUUCAUAACUAUGAUUAUCUUAGAGCUCUUUUUAAAAACAUAUGUGAUAGCUAAAAAGAAGCCUUUGUGGCAAUAUCUAUUUUGCAACACACAUGUUGAAUUUCUUUUGAUUUUUGUUUUUAUUUUUGUUUUCUCUCUUUUUUGGGGAUCUUGAGUCAAAAGAUGACUUUGAAGUCAAUAUUAUAUACUUAUAUCUAUCAUAAGCCAGCUACUUACCGACCCAAUAGUUGAUAUUUUUAAAAGUCUCUAAUAAUCUAAAUUUAAAGAUUGAAUUAUAGAAAUAUUUUUAAUUUAAAAUAUUUCUUGUUCAAUUAUAAAUCGCCAUGUUUUGAUUUGCAGUAGCGUGACAGAACUGCCAAAUGAACCAAGUUUGCAGAAACGACCACUUUCCUUGACCUUUUGUAGAGUGGAACUGUGGGACAUCUUUUAGUGGCACAUUUUUAUUAUUUUUUUCUUGACUUUGUUGGCGUACUAAGGAUGAAAACUCGGAAAUAUUUAUAAUUAAAAAAAAAAAAGAAGAAAAAUCAUCCUUGAGGGUUAUCAAAAUGAAUUGUAAAAACCAUGAAUUCAAAGGACUCUAAGUGAUUUUAAAACACAUUUAUAUAAUUAAAAGAUUUUCCUAUUUAUAUAGUAUAGAAGUUUUUUUUCUUUAUUCUAUGUGGGAUAUUAGAGGGGUUUUUUUAAUUAUAUUUUUAUUUUUAUUUUUUAAAAACCACAUUUAUAUAGUCAUAAUUUCUUAACAAUUACGAUUUUUUUUUCAAAUCUUAAGUAUUAUACAUAAAAAUGUUUUAACCAAAAUCAUGACUUUGACUUGAACAUUUUUUUUCUAUUUUAUCUAGGCUGUGUAUGAAAUUUUAUUGAAUAACUAGUGCUUAUUUUGUAAAGACUUUUUUUUUUAAUGCUAAUUUGGUUUUAGAAAAGUAAGUCUAAGGAAAGGAUAAAAAAAAAUACCCCCCAAAAAAAAAUCAUCUUUUAAUAUUUAAGUUAAUAAUAAAAAAAAUGGAAACAAAUAAAAUAUAAUUAAAAUUUUAUAUAUUUUUAAAUUAUUUUAAAAAAUGAAAUAAAGGUAUAAAGAAUAAUGUAAAAAUAAGUUAUUAAUUUUAAAUCUGUUUUAAUUUUUUUUUUCAUUUUAACUUUUAUUUGCUUUUCAUCAUAUUUUUCCUUAGAUAUUCUAAGAACCAAGCAUAGAGUUAAAAUUAUUAUUAUUAUUUUCUCUCUUCUUGGUAUACAGCUGUAAAUUUCAUUUAGUUAAAUUAUCAUACUUUCUAAUGUCAAAUAUUAAAAAGAGAAAAAAGGAAAAUAAUUUAACAUGAUUUGGUAAAGAAACAAAGGAAAUGCGAUAGCCUUUUUGUGAAUAUAUCAUGAUUUAGGAUUUUCAAUAUCGUUGUAUAAAUCGGUGCAAUCAAAUGCUAUGUUUAUGGAAUCUUUUCUCUUCAAGUAAGUCGGUGCUAACAAGUGUGAAAGGUCACUCUCAAUGUCAUUGUCUCGUACAGUUGAAUAACAUAUCCUGCUGUUUUUCCUGCUCUACUAAGCAAACUUGUGGAUAUUUUAACCACAUGAACACCCCACCUGUGUCUUUCCCUACCUUACAAAGAGAGAUGGGAUAUAUAUUGAGGUACGUUCUCUUGCCAACUUCAAAUGCAGCCUGUCACCGAACUUCAUGCUCACUUCCCAUCUCACCCCUCUCAAUAAAACCCCCACUCCCCUCCUUACUCAUCCAAGCCAACUCGUCUCCACUCCUUUCUCAGAGCAACAAGUUUGGCCACUAGAUAGGAAAAGAGCCUAGAAAAAUAUGAUGAAGCAGCUUCUCUCCCCAUUUCUGCUUCUGCUAUUUUUGUUCCAUCUCUGCGCCAAAACUUCCGGUCAGUCAAGCCCUUCAGGUCCCGCCGACAUUGCUUGUAAUGACCGGGCAUUUUAUGUCACGUUAGCAAUUUUAGUUUGAAAAGUCUUAAUUUAUGUGAUGGUUGAAAAGUCAAAAAGAAAAGCGUUUGGAGAACACGUGUCAAUUUCGGAUUGGUGAAUUUCGUUUUAUUGCGUCGGUCAAUUAAACGAGUUGAAAUUUUAUGCCAUGUCAGCCUUAGGAUAGAAAAUUCUUAGGAUUUUAGAAAUUGGAAAUUUACGGGAACGAAAAACGAAAACGAAAAAUGAAAAAUAAAUAAAUUAAGAUUAAUUAGAAUUAAUUAAGAAAAAUAAAUUAAUUAAUUAAAGUAAAUUGAUGAAUAAUAAUAUUAAGAAAAUUAGUUUUUAUUUGGUGUUAAUAAAUAAAAUUGUGUGUUAAAAUGAAAAAAAAAAUGAAUUGGAAAUUAAAUAAAACAAUUAGAAUAAAGAAAAGAAAAGAAAAUAAAAUAAAAGAAAUAAUAACAAUAAUAAUGGAUUGGGCUUAGUUUUUGAGUUGGGCUUGGAGCAAGUGGGCUGGUGGUUUUUUUUAAAAAGCCAUGUGAAGUGGGCUGGGCUGUUAGUAAAAAGAAAAAGAAAAAAAAAAAGGAAAAGGGGGAAAAUUGGAAAAGUGCAGCACGCGGGAGAGAGAGAGAGAGAGAAAAGGGCACUGUUCAUAAAUUAGGGCACUUGCCGGAAUUUUGAUCGGACGUUUGGACGGCCAAACGAUCUCCGUUUCGGCCCAAAUUCGGAGGAAGUACUCUAUUCGACUAGACGAACAAGCCUGCGGUGGCUGAUUUUGUUUUUAACGGUCAAAUUUUCAGAUCUGAGGUAGGGGACCCUAACCCUAAAACUCAAAUUUUUAUGUUUUUUCCUUGAAAAAAAAUUGUAAAUAUUGUCACUAUGAGUUAAUUAGGAAUUAUGGAUGUUGUGUGAAUUUUUCUAGAAUAUUUGGAGUUUGUUUGGAAUUUUUGGAAUUUCGGGAAAUUGAUUUUGAUUGAUAAUUAAUUGUUUUGAAAGGUUAAAAAUUAUUAGAUGGGUUGGAAAAUUCCAAAAUUUGGGUUAAAUUUUAAAUAUAAUGAUUUGUGAAUUUUUAGGCAUUGGUUAGAAUAUUUUCGAAAAUUUUAGGGUAAAUAGUUAGUUAAUUUUGGAUAUUAGAAAUUAUUAUAAUGGUUGAAAAAUUUUGUAAGUGUGGUAAAAUCUCAAGAUUGUUGAUAUGCAAUUUUUUUAAUAUUUAUUUGGGAUAUUAUCGGAAAUUGUAAUGUGUGAAAUUGUUUGAUUGGAUUAUUGGGGAAUGUUGAGAUUGUUGAAUUAUUGAGGAAUAUUGGAAUUGUGGCAUUCAUUGCAUCAUGGUUAUGUGAAAAAAAUAAAUAAAUAAAUAAAAUCAUGAAGAUUGUGAAAAGUGUAUGAAAUGGAAAAAAAUGAAAUAGAGAUGAGAAGUGGAAGCCCGUGUGAGGCGAAUUAAGAAGGGAGAGAGAUCCCUAGGGUGAAAGACCCAAAAGUUUACCCCGGGAAGACUCCGAAUGGGGAGUGUAUUUGGGUGCGGACGCGUAUCCUUCGGUGAAAGCCCGAGAACAAUAGUGCAUUGUAUGACUGUGUGUCACACGUUCAUGUGCAUUCAUGUAAUUGUUGAAUAUUGUGAAAUUGGGUAUAAAAUUAUAUAUAUUAAACUAUGUGGUUUGAUUGACACUGUUGAAUUGUUCCUGUGGUGUUGAAGUGUUCUUUUCGUAUUCUUUGAACUUAGUAAUCCCUUUAACCCCUUGGGUGUUAGGCACCCUACUGAGCAAUGUGGAAAUGCUCACCCCUUCCUUGUUACACCUUUUUAGAUGCAGAUAUCUCUCCUGAGGAUCCAUAGGUGGGACAGGGAGGACUUCAGGAUGCUCCUGGAGCGACCUAGUGGAGCGUGGCAUUUAUUUGUUAUUGUGUUCCUUUUUGGAUUUUGGGGAUUUGUUUUAGCAAUUAUGACUCAUGGAUUUGCUAUGAAGCUUUAUUUGAUUAAGUUGUUAAUUGUGAACUUUUAUUUUGGACUAUAAUGAAUAUUUAUUUAAUCUUGUUGUUUUGAGUAGUUUUGGGAUAUUGUAAUUUAUGAGAAUUCUAGUGAGAUGUAUAAAUAAAAAAAAAUCCAGAGUGUUUUGGUUGAUUACCAACAUGGAAUAGGAGGAACCCUUAGGGUCAAACCUUUGACCUAGGGUCACGGGUCAAAUUUUGGGUCGCCCGGAAUUUGGGUCGUGACAUUGCUGCAGUUCUCGGACAGGCUGGUAAGUUUACUACCUUCAUUGGGCUACUAAAGAGCACCCAGAUGGAUGCCCAAAUCAAUGACGAGCUCAAGAAAAAAUCUACCCCCGGCAUCACCGUAUUUGCACCAACAGAUAGUGCCUUUUCAGACCUCAAACCAGGUACACUGAACUCAUUCAGUGAUCAACAGAAGGCCGCACUGACGCAAUUCCAUGUGGUACCUACUUUCCUUACUGUCUCACAGUUCCAGACAGUGAGCAACCCACUGCACACAGAGGCUGGUGAAAAUACUGUGGAGUUCCCACUGAAUGUCGUAGGCAACGGAACUCAGGUGAACAUGACAACAGGGCUUGUGAACACAACAGUGGACAGCACAGUAUAUACUGACGGUCAGCUUGCUGUGUAUGAGAUCCCCCAGGUUCUCCUUUCACAAGGUAUCCUCAGCCCUCAAGCACCAGCACCAGCUCCUCUACCACCAAAGCCUAAGAAGGCUACUCCUCUCAAUUCAGCGGCUCCUUCAAAGUCGACCACCGUUUCUGUUGAUUCUUCUGGUGCCGGGGGUCUGCCCCACUAUGCACCAACUGCUGUAUCCAUUGGAGUGGCUGUUCU
rnacentral:lncRNA from 1 species